rnacentral:rRNA from 1 species
AUUGAACGCUGGCGGCAGGCUUAACACAUGCAAGUCGAACGAGUGGCGGACGGGUGAGUAAUGCUUGGGAAUCUGGCUUAUGGAGGGGGAUAACUACGGGAAACUGUAGCUAAUACCGCAUACCAUAGGAUGAGCCCAGGUGGGAUUAGGUAGUGGGUGGGGUAAAGGCUCACCAAGCCGGCGAUCUCUAGCUGGUCUGAGAGGAUGACCAGCCACACUGGGACUGAGACACGGGCCAGACUCCUACGGGAGGCAGCAGUGGGGAAUAUUGCGCAAUGGGGGCAAGCCUGAUGCAGCCAUGCCGCGUGAAUGAAGAAGGCCUUCGGGUUGUAAAGUACUUUCGGUGGGGAGGCGUUAACCGCAGAAGAAGCACCGGCUAACUCCGUGCCAGCAGCCGCGGUAAUAC